rnacentral:rRNA from 1 species
UACGUAGGGGGCAAGCGUUAUCCGGAAUUACUGGGUGUAAAGGGUGAGUAGGCGGAUUAGUAAGCCAUAUGUGAAAACUCAGGGCUUAACUUUGAGAUUGCAUAAGGAACUGUUAAUCUAGAGUACAGGAGAGGUAAGUGGAAUUCCUAGUGUAGCGGUGAAAUGCGUAGAUAUUAGGAGGAACACCAGUGGCGAAGGCGACUUACUGGACUGUAACUGACGCUGAGUCACGAAAGCGUGGGUAGCAAACAGG